UCAAGGCAAUAAAGUUUUCGCCUCCGUUUUCGUUCCGACCAGCCUAAGUGGCUCCACAGGAUUCCCUCUCCCUCCCGUGCGGAGCGAGGCGGGAGGAGACGGCCUCAGCCCCGGGCCCCUGUCCCCGACGCUCACUCCAGCCCUCGGGGACCCAGCGCCCUGAACCCCCGCAGCUACCGGGCCUCGCUAAAAGCCGAGACCCCGACGGCCCCGCCUUCCUCCAAGUAACGGGAACUCGAGCCCGCCAAGGAGGGCGCGGACGUCCCCGUCCGUCCCCAUCCGUCCCCGCUGUCCCGCAGCCAUCCCCAAGUUUGCUGGGCACCCUCAGCCCACGCGCCGCGGCUGGCACCUCAUCCCGCCCCGGGGCGCAAGCGUCCUCUGGGGCCGGCGCCCCGCGGGCACGGAAGGCACCUAACCCGGGAAGGGGACGCUUGGCCCGGAGUAGCGGCCUGCGGCUGGGGAUAGGGUGCGCGGAGGAGCGCGUGGGAUCCCGGAGAGAGAAGGCCGGAAUGCCCGGGAGGAGUGCGGGGGACCCGCGCCACGGGGGAGGGGGCGGGGUGAAGCCGGAGGCUGGAGGUUCGCGGUGGGCACCUCGGGGCGUCUGGGGCUGAGGAGCCCCGGCAGGGGAACGGGCAAGGUGGCUGCCCGGGAGCCUGGAAGGAUGAGCAGGCGAGGCUGGGAUGGUAGUGGGCGCAGACACGACUCAAGUUAAGGCGAUCAUUACGCUGAUGGGAGUCAGAAGCACGUGGGUGUCUCCGACCAGCCUCGAAUUCUGAGCCUUCAAAACAAAUCAAACAAUGUGCGUCGCCCACAGAGGCCGGGAAAUCCGCUGGAGGCUAUACCCCGAGAACCAGGCAGGAGCGACAUCGGGCGGGUCACCUCUCCUGUGAUGUUCUGUGUCCUGCUUAGCUGAUUGUUUCAUAACUCCCAAAGCUUCCAAAUGGAAUCAUUUGCCAGUCCUAACAAAGUAGUUGACACAGUCGUGAUUUCGUGAAAUUAAUAAAAUUUGGAUUCUA